CACGGGUCCUCCUUGGGGACAUGCAUGGUGGGGGACUGCAGCACUGCUGCUUCCAGAAAGAAAGGUGCAGCAGUGGAACAAAUCCUCUCCAAAACUCCUUCAAAGGACGAGCCCCACCCCCCUGCAGGACGUGGGUGUGGGUCUGUGUGGGACACCAGGAACCCCUCACAUCAGCAAGUCACUCUCUUUCUCAGCAAAAAUGAGGAUCUCAGUUCUUGCCCCUUUCUCUUAGGGUUCAACACCUUUAUCCUGGAAGGUUUAAAUCAGUCCAUCAUCUCAUACAUGGAAUCACAGAAUUUCCUGAUUUGAAACGUGCCCACAAGGAUCAUCAAGUCCAAGUCCUGGCCCUACACAGGACAUCCCCAAGAAUCACACCAUCUGUCACCAUGUACAUCAUCAACCCCUGCACUUAAAGGAAUUUGAACCCCAGAUAAGAUGCUUCCAGGGCUAUGGAGAGCUGGUGUCCAGUUUAGCUGGUCCAAUUGGGUCAUGGGGGGACCUGGAUCCAUA